CAGCAGCCGCGGUAACACGAAGGGUGCAAGCGUUACUCGGAAUUACUGGGCGUAAAGCGUGCGUAGGUGGUGGUUUAAGUCCGUUGUGAAAGCCCUGGGCUCAACCUGGGAAUUGCAGUGGAUACUGGGUCACUAGAGUGUGGUAGAGGAUAGUGGAAUUUCCGGUGUAGCAGUGAAAUGCGUAGAGAUCGGAAGGAACAUCUGUGGCGAAGGCGACUAUCUGGGCCAACACUGACACUGAGGCACGAAAGCGUGGGGAGCAAACAGGAUUAGAGACCCCUGUAGUCCCUGUCUCUUAUAC
rnacentral:rRNA from 1 species